CCUGCUAAUGGGUCGGAUAAUAUUUGGAUUUUUUGGGUUGGAUUGUUUUGUGGAAUUGUUUGGAUGAGAGUUAAUGGGUUUAUAGGAUAAAUGGGUUGGAAUGGAAUGGGUUUGCUAGCAAAUCGGAUUGGGUUGGGUUGGAACGGGUUAUUUUUUCGGGUUCUCACCCACUCCCUCCGCCCCCCAAAUCCGGCUGCGGGUUCUCACCCAACCCAUCCGCGCCGUUCUCACCCAACCCCAGUCUGCCGUCGCUCCUCCGCCCCCAGAUCCGGCUCCUCCGCCCCCAGAUCCGGCUCCUCCGCAGCCCCUCCGCCGCAUCCGUCGCGACACCCACACCACCGGCGCCGAGAUCCCCUACUAGCGCCCUGACUCCUAGAGACGAAGUGCAUCGAGCUCCGCCUACUACUUCCGCUGGACAAGAAAUCUCGUGCAAGGCUUCUUGUUCUUUCCAAGACCGUUGUCCACCGCCGAAACUGCGCUGUGUCCAGCUUUCCCCUUCACCGGCAGCGAGCAAACACCAGGGCAAGGGUGUGUACCAGUUCGUGGACAAGUACGGCGCCAACGUCGACGGAUACAGACUACUUCAAUGCGUCUUUGACUGAUCUCUUGAGCUCACUAUCUGGUUAGCUACCUUGGCAUAUACGAUGGUUACCUAUCAGCAGUAGUUGAUUUGAUGGAAACGAUGUCAACUUCUCAUCCGGCUGAGGCCUCAGACACCAAUACAAGCAGCAAUGAUGACCAUUCAUCAGGAACACCAAAUAGGAGGUCUAAAGUGUGGGAACACUUUGAGCCAGAGUUGGUCGAGGUGGAUGGUGCUCUGAAGGCUGUUUGCAGAUACUGCGGCAUGAAGAUGGCUAGCGGAAAAUCAGGUACAAAUAGUUUGAGAAAUCACAUAAAAGAUUCUUGUCGAAAAAUUAGUGCAGAUGAUAGACAGAGAUUUAUUGCCACAAUUCAG